GAUCAUGCUCAGGACGAACGCUGGCGGCAUGCCUAACACAUGCAAGUCGAACGAGGUGUAGCAAUACACCUAGUGGCGGACGGGUGCGUAACACGUGAGCAACCUGCCCUUUACAACGGGAUAACACAGAGAAAUUUGUGCUAAUACGGUAUGAGACCACAGUACGGCAUCGUACAGGGGUUAAAGUUCAGGCGGUAAAGGAGGGGCUCGCGGCCCAUUAGAUAGUUGGUGAGGUAACGGCUC
rnacentral:rRNA from 1 species